UUUGGUUUAAAUCAGUAAGUUAAAUUUUUAUAAACUUUUUACGUUUAAAUUUUUUUAUCAAACAAACGAUGCACUUAUUGUAAAACCGCUACUUUUUUUAUCUUUUAUUAUAAUUUAACACUAUAUUCGGAAAAAAUGGGCCUAACGAGAUUAACUAGACUCAUUCGGUCUUCAGCCCGACAUGACCCACCACUAAUCCUAGUUGUUGUCUCUUAUAAACGCCACAUUCCUUAAAGCCAAAUAAAAAUGAUGAGUUAUGAAAGGUAAAUUUGGACUUACCAAUCAUCAUUUUAGAGUGGACAUAGAUCAUGAACCGACGAGAUUCUUGAGCUCUUGCGUAAUCAGAAUUAGCCUCCGGUUUUUCCGGAGGCAAGUAUUCACCCACCUUGCCCUUUUCCCGGUUCCCGAGGCAGAAAAACGUUAGGUAGUCUCUAGGGUUUGCAUCUAAACCUUUUUU
rnacentral:sRNA from 1 species